rnacentral:rRNA from 1 species
CCACCACCAAAGCAUUUGCUGUACCGCGUUGACGGAGCGAAGCGACGUCAAACCGAUAAAACAGCAGUGUAAAGUGAGCCGCAGGGCGCUUUGCGCGACAGCGCAAAGGCAGGCGGUUUCGCGUAGCGAAAGCGAAUGCUUUGGGGUGGGGUGACUGCGUACCUUUUGUAUAAUGGGUCAGCGACUUAUAUUCUGUAGCAAGGUUAACCGAAUAGGGGAGCCGGAGGGAAACCGAGUCUUAAUUGGGCGUUAAGUUGCAGGGUAUAGACCCGAAACCCGGUGAUCUAGCCAUGGGCAGGUUGAAGGUUGGGUAACACUAACUGGAGGACCGAACCGACUAAUGUUGAAAAAUUAGCGGAUGACCUGUGGCUGGGGGUGAAAGGCCAAUCAAACCGGGAGAUAGCUGGUUCUCCCCGAAAGCUAUUUAGGUAGCGCCUCGUGAAUUCAUCUCCGGGGGUAGAGCACUGUUUCGGCUAGGGGGCCAUCCCGGCUUACCAACCCGAUGCAAACUGCGAAUACCGGAGAAUGUUAUCACGGGAGACACACGGCGGGUGCUAACGUCCGUCGUGAAGAGGGAAACAACCCAGACCGCCAGCUAAGGUCCCAAAGUCAUGGUUAAGUGGGAAACGAUGUGGGAAGGCCCAGACAGCCAGGAUGUUGGCUUAGAAGCAGCCAUCAUUUAAAGAAAGCGUAAUAGCUCACUGGUCGAGUCGGCCUGCGCGGAAGAUGUAACGGGGCUAAACCAUGCACCGAAGCUGCGGCAGCGACGCUUAUGCGUUGUUGGGUAGGGGAGCGUUCUGUAAGCCUGCGAAGGUGGCCUGUGAGGGUUGCUGGAGGUAUCAGAAGUGCGAAUGCUGACAUAAGUAACGAUAAAGCGGGUGAAAAGCCCGCUCGCCGGAAGACCAAGGGUUCCUGUCCAACGUUAAUCGGGGCAGGGUGAGUCGACCCCUAAGGCGAGGCCGAAAGGCGUAGUCGAUGGGAAACGGGUUAAUAUUCCCGUACUUGGUGUUACUGCGAAGGGGGGACGGAGAAGGCUAUGUUGGCCGGGCGACGGUUGUCCCGGUUUAAGCGUGUAGGUGUGUGUUCCAGGUAAAUCCGGUUCACUUUAACACUGAGGCGUGACGACGAGGCACUACGGUGCUGAAGCAACAAAUGCCCUGCUUCCAGGAAAAGCCUCUAAGCAUCAGGUAACAUCAAAUCGUACCCCAAACCGACACAGGUGGUCAGGUAGAGAAUACCAAGGCGCUUGAGAGAACUCGGGUGAAGGAACUAGGCAAAAUGGUGCCGUAACUUCGGGAGAAGGCACGCUGACACGUAGGUGAAGUGAUUUACUCAUGGAGCUGAAGUCAGUCGAAGAUACCAGCUGGCUGCAACUGUUUAUUAAAAACACAGCACUGUGCAAACACGAAAGUGGACGUAUACGGUGUGACGCCUGCCCGGUGCCGGAAGGUUAAUUGAUGGGGUCAGCGCAAGCGAAGCUCCUGAUCGAAGCCCCGGUAAACGGCGGCCGUAACUAUAACGGUCCUAAGGUAGCGAAAUUCCUUGUCGGGUAAGUUCCGACCUGCACGAAUGGCGUAAUGAUGGCCAGGCUGUCUCCACCCGAGACUCAGUGAAAUUGAACUCGCUGUGAAGAUGCAGUGUACCCGCGGCAAGACGGAAAGACCCCGUGAACCUUUACUAUAGCUUGACACUGAACAUUGAGCCUUGAUGUGUAGGAUAGGUGGGAGGCUUUGAAGUGUGGACGCCAGUCUGCAUGGAGCCGACCUUGAAAUACCACCCUUUAAUGUUUGAUGUUCUAACGUGGACCCGUUACCCGGGUUGCGGACAGUGUCUGGUGGGUAGUUUGACUGGGGCGGUCUCCUCCUAAAGAGUAACGGAGGAGCACGAAGGUUGGCUAAUCCUGGUCGGACAUCAGGAGGUUAGUGCAAUGGCAUAAGCCAGCUUGACUGCGAGCGUGACGGCGCGAGCAGGUGCGAAAGCAGGUCAUAGUGAUCCGGUGGUUCUGAAUGGAAGGGCCAUCGCUCAACGGAUAAAAGGUACUCCGGGGAUAACAGGCUGAUACCGCCCAAGAGUUCAUAUCGACGGCGGUGUUUGGCACCUCGAUGUCGGCUCAUCACAUCCUGGGGCUGAAGUAGGUCCCAAGGGUAUGGCUGUUCGCCAUUUAAAGUGGUACGCGAGCUGGGUUUAGAACGUCGUGAGACAGUUCGGUCCCUAUCUGCCGUGGGCGCUGGAGAACUGAGGGGGGCUGCUCCUAGUACGAGAGGACCGGAGUGGACGCAUCACUGGUGUUCGGGUUGUCAUGCCAAUGGCACUGCCCGGUAGCUAAAUGCGGAAGAGAUAAGUGCUGAAAGCAUCUAAGCACGAAACUUGCCCCGAGAUGAGUUCUCCCUGAGACUUAGAGUCUCCUGAAGGAACGUUGAAGACGACGACGUUGAUAGGCCGGGUGUGUAAGCGCAGCGAUGCGUUGAGCUAACCGGUACUAAUGAACCGUGAGGCUUAACCUUACAACGCCGAAG